GACGAACGCUGGCGGCGUGCUUAACACAUGCAAGUCGAACGGUGAAGCGCCUUCCUUUUUGGUGGGUGUGGAUGAGUGGCGAACGGGUGAGUAACACGUGAGUAACCUGCCCCCUUCUUCUGGAUAACCGCAUGAAAGUGUGGCUAAUACGGGAUAUUCUGGGUCUGUCGCAUGAUGGGUCUGGGAAAGAUAUUGUUUCGGUGGGGGAUGGGCUCGCGGCCUAUCAGCUUGUUGGUGGGGUGAUGGCCUACCAAGGCGGUGACGGGUAGCCGGCCUGAGAGGGUGCACGGUCACACUGGGACUGAGACACGGCCCAGACUCCUACGGGAGGCAGCAGUGGGUAAUAUUGCACAAUGGGCGCAAGCCUGAUGCAGCGACGCCGCGUGAGGGAUGGAGGCCUUCGGGUUGUGAACCUCUUUCGCCAGUGAAGCAGGCCUGCCUCGUUUGUGGGUGGGUUGACGGUAGCUGGAUAAGAAGCGCCGGCUAACUACGUG
rnacentral:rRNA from 1 species